rnacentral:rRNA from 1 species
GACGAACGCUGGCGGCGUGCUUAACACAUGCAAGUCGAACGGAAAGGCCCUGCUUGCCGGGUACUCGAGUGGCGAACGGGUGAGUAACACGUGGGUGAUCUGCCCUGCACUUCGGGAUAAGCCUGGGAAACUGGGUCUAAUACCGGAUAGGAGCCAUUUUUAGUGUGAUGGUUGGAAAGUUUUUUCGGCGUAGGAUGAGCUCGCGGCCUAUCAGCUUGUUGGUGGGGUAAUGGCCUACCAAGGCGGCGACGGGUAGCCGGCCUGAGAGGGUGGACGGCCACAUUGGGACUGAGAUACGGCCCAGACUCCGACGGGAGGCAGCAGUGGGGAAUAUUGCACAAUGGGCGCAAGCCUGAUGCAGCGACGCCGCGUGGGGGAUGACGGCCUUCGGGUUGUAAACUCCUUUCGCUAGGGACGAAGCUUUUUGUGACGGUACCUAGAUAAGAAGCACCGACUAACUACGUG